GUUAUACAUAAGCAACGUAUUAGACGUAAGUGUAUUUUAAACUAUAUUUUUUAGAUAGUAUAUAGUAAAUACAAGUUGUAUUUUUUUUAUAUGCUUUAUAUUGUUAAAUGUACAUUUUAUUCAGAACAGAAUGUGUUUUAUUGCGUAAAACUCAGCAUCUACUGUUUUACUGAAUGUAAUACAAUUCUCCUUUCAUCUUGUUCAUGUUCGAUCGUACCUUUCGUCAAAUUGUAAGAUUCUUGUAAGAAAGCUCUAGCAAAUCGAACGCCAUAUUUUUCCUGUUGGACUGGAGAAUUUCAAAAGAAGCCCUGUCUUUAACAUGUAUAAACAAAUUCAAAUUUUGGCUAGGAUUAACUUAUGUAUAAUUCUGACAAUUUCAAAAAUGAUUUAUCGACUUAGCCAGAAAGAGUAUAUUUUUAGGUAUCAAAUUAUGAAGUAAUCUUUAUCAUGCAUAGAGUGUGUGAAACGGAUCAUUAUUCUAAUAAGAAUACAUCAUUCCAUUAACUAAUUUUCUGAAAAUUCUAUGCAAUAACUGAUAAUUUUCUUUCUAUAUUUAGAACGAUUGGUAUAACCGAUUCUAUAUAUAGAUCUCCAAAAUAAGAAAGUGUUAUCAUUGUUCAACGACUACUUUGAACUAAGGUAAGCAUUUUAACACAUUUUGUUCAUAUCAUAAUUCAUCUAUAAUAUACGCGAAAUAUAUGUUAUUACUGUUUUUUUAAAUGUUCAUCCUUAUAAAACACUAGUAAACUUCGUGUAAAACAGAGGAACGACAAAGGUGUACUGACUGAAAUACAUUUUAUCAGGGUACUUUAAAAAAAAUAUAUAUAUUUCAAGUCUGUAUUUUCAAAUUAGAGAUGUGGAUAAACUCAUCAUUCAUACCAGGAUUGAAAUUUUAUAUUUACGCCAAACGCGCGUUUCGUCUACAAAAUGCUCAUCGGUGACGCUCGAAUAAAAAAUGUUAAGAGUAUGCUGUCUCAGUUUAAUAACCAAUGAACCGCUAAAACUAUCUUACUCACUUUUACUGAUGACCACAUGGAUGUCAAUUUCGAAUUGACGAUUUUCACAUUUGCCGAUUGACACCGAUGAGACUGAAAAAUAUGCACAGAACGUGGUGGGUCAAACACACAUGACAGUUUCUUCAAGAUAAAAAAAUAACCUUUUGACAGCUCUUUUCUUGUUCACUGAUUUUACUGAUAACUGUAAUAAUAUAAUAUUCUAUUGUUUAUUUUUAGAUCAUAUAUUCUCGUCAACAAUGGGAUGUACAUGUAAAAGAGUGUUCUUCAUAACUGGACUGAUAAUUAUGGAAUUGAUUGACCUUGGUCUAGACUGGGACUUUUUCGUUGAAGUAAAUAAAACGGACCAAGAGAAAAUUCAAAGUGAAACCGAACUGAAAUAUUUAAUCCUAGCAUUUGCAGUUGUAGGAACACUUACUUUUAUACUUCAACUUGUUGCUAUAUACUAUGAUUCUAAGCAGAAUUACUCACAUUUAACAUACUCAAUAACGAUGUCAUUUAUUUCAACGUGGCUUGAAGAUAUCCCCCAAAUUAUCUUGGCUAUUUGGGUAGCAAGUAUUUCAUCCGAUCUUAUUUCCUAUGUACAAUAUGCGAAAGCAUCAUAUGCAAUCUUGGAAGCAUUACUCCAUUUUGGAGUUACAAUUUGGCAACUAUGUUGUAAAAAAUAAAAGUUCAAGUACAAAAGAAAUAGUGAUUGUCUUAUGGCAUUACUCGUCCUUGAUCUUAUUGGCGGCAUCCUACUUCUCGGAGCGUCUGUAUUCCUUCUAAUAGAACUACGCUUUGACAAAUAUUAUUGAAACUAGUCACUGUUCAUAUAAAUAGUACUCAAAAUAGUAAUAUUUUUUAGGAUUAUGUGUAUAUGUUAUCAGACAUUGUAUGUAUAUGUUAUAAGUAGGCUUAUAAGACAUUGUAUGUAUAUGUUAUCAGACAUUGUAUGUAUAUGUUAUAAUACAUUGUAUGUAUAUGGUAUAUGGC
rnacentral:lncRNA from 1 species